rnacentral:lncRNA from 1 species
CCCACAUCUUCCUUCUUUCUCUCACAAAAAUAAAUUUAAAAAAACCACCAAAAAAAAUUGGCCUAGCUUCUAUCUUCCUUCAUCCCCUAUGUUUAGCUUCUUGUCUUUGCUUGUUUCAUGCCAAUUUCAAAGGGCAUGUGUUCAAAUAACUUGAACACCCCACAAUUAAUUUGAUUAUGACCCUCAUGAGCUCCUAAUAUUUGCCUCAGAUCUCUGUUUAUCUACUUAAAUCUUUUCUAGCUCUGGAUAUUUAUGAUCAUGAAGCACCACAAGACAUUUCUUGUCCAUGCAAACAUUCAGAAUCCCAUUAAUUGAUGCACAUAUUCGUUAACACAUGCAUAUAUGAGUUACAAAAUCAUGCAUAUUAUACCUAUGUCUAUAUAUUUAUAAUUAUGUGCCUGGC